AUUGAACGCUGGCGGCAGGCCUAACACAUGCAAGUCGAACGAGUGGCGGACGGGCGAGCAAUGGCUGGGAAACUGCCCGAAGGAGGGGGAUAACUAGGGGAAACGGUAGAUAAUACCGCAUACCAUCGGAUGUGCCCAUGUGGGAUUAGCUAGUAGGUGGGGUAACGGCUCACCUAGGCGACGAUCCCUAGCUGGUCUGAGAGGAUGACCAGCCACACUGGAACUGAGACACGGUCCAGACUCCUACGUGAGGCAGCAGUGGGGAAUAUUGCACAAUGGGCGCAAGCCUGAUGCAGCCAUGCCGCGUGUGUGAAGAAGGCCUUCGGGUUGUAAAGUACUUUCAGCGAGGAGGCGUUACUCGCAGAGGAAGCACCGGCUAACUCCGUGCCAGCAGCCGCGGUAAUUC
rnacentral:rRNA from 1 species